rfam:Drosophila virilis strain TSC#15010-1051.87 Ctg01_17331, whole genome shotgun sequence.
UUACAACUUUUAUGAUGAUUUAUUCAAGUAGGAAUCUCAUUGAGCUUCAGUCAUUCGUUGCCAUGAAAUGAACUUCUCUUUCUGAACAAAUUUGC